rnacentral:lncRNA from 1 species
CUAAACCACCUUCACACCACCCUCCUAUUGUUAAGCCACCAGUUCACAAACCACCAAAGCAUUCUCCUACUCCUAAACCACCAGUUCAUAAACCACCAAGAUAUCCUCCUAAACCAUCACCUUGUCCACCCCCAUCAUCAACACCAAAACCACCUCAUCAUCCCAAACCCCCAGCAGUACACCCACCACAUGUUCCAAAACCACAUCCACCUUAUGUUCCAAAACCACCAAUUGUUAAACCUCCAAUAGUACAUCCACCUUACGUACCAAAACCCCCAGUUGUGAAACCACCACCAUAUGUCCCUAAACCACCUGUUGUGAGACCACCCUAUGUUCCUAAACCACCAGUUGUACCUGUAACACCACCUUAUGUUCCUAAGCCACCAAUUGUUUUCCCACCACAUGUUCCUCUACCUCCAGUUGUACCAUCACCACCACCUUAUGUACCAACACCUCCAAUUGUGAAACCACCAAUUGUUUUUCCACCACAUGUUCCUCUACCUCCAGUUGUGCCUGUAACACCACCUUAUGUGCAACCACCACCUAUUGUAACUCCACCAACACCAACACCUCCAAUUGUGACACCACCAACACCACCUAGUGAAACACCUUGUCCUCCACCACCACUUGUACCUUAUCCACCACCACCAGCACAACAAACAUGUUCCAUUGAUGCUUUGAAGUUGGGUGCAUGUGUUGAUGUGCUUGGUGGACUCAUACAUAUUGGUAUAGGUGGAAGUG